rnacentral:rRNA from 1 species
AUUGAUGUGUAGGAUAGGCCGGAGACUUUGAAGCAGGCACGCCAGUGUUUGUGGAGUCGCUGUUGAAAUACGGCCCUUUGGUUAUUUGAGUUCUAACUCGCUGGUGCGAGGACACUGUUUGGUGGGUAGUUUGACUGGGGUGGUCGCCUCCAAAAGCGUAACGGAGGCUUCUAAAGGUGCCCUCACGCCGAUUGGUAACCGGCGGUA